rnacentral:rRNA from 1 species
GAUGAACGCUGGCGGCGUGCCUAAUACAUGCAAGUCGACAACAGCGGCGGACGGGUGAGUAACACGUGAGUAACCUGCCCUUUUCUUUGGGAUAAGCCUGGGAAACUGGGUCUAAUACUGGAUGGAUUGGGAUGGGCUCGCGGCUUAUCAGCUUGUUGGUGGGGUGAUGGCUUACCAAGGCUUUGACGGGUAGCCGGCCUGAGAGGGUGGUCGGUCACACUGGGACUGAGAUACGGCCCAGACGCCUACGGGAGGCAGCAGUGGGGAAUAUUGCACAAUGGGCGCAAGCCUGAUGCAGCCAUGCCGCGUGUAUGAAGAAGGCCUUCGGGUUGUAAAGUACUUUCAGCGGGGAGGCGUUACCCGCAGAAGAAGCACCGGCUAACUCCGUGCCAGCAGCCGCGGUAAUUC